AUUUUUUCUUACCUUCCUGUGUCUGCGGUUCUCCCAUCAAGAUUUCAACAGUUUUAACGACUUCUUUCGCACAAGGCUCCCCUGCAUUUUCUUCUUUAUCAGGUGUUUCAUUGGACAAUGCUGUGAAAUUCAACUGGACCACUGGUAUUUGACCUGCGUAAAAGAGGGUCUUCAAACGCUUGUACACGCGAACACUCGUCGUCCAAACACUUCUUGUUUUUCUCCAACAUUGAACGAAAACUAGUUUGGUCCAAGUCAAAUUUUUGACAGGUAGGAAAUCCGGUUGGAGCUG